AAACACAAAUAAAUCGAAAUAAAACAUUCGUUACGUUCAGGUGCCUGUCUCUGUCUUACACGGAAUCCCUGGCUUUGAUUAUCCAGGCUCCAGUGGCGCAAUCGGUUAGCGCGCGGUACUUAUAUGACAGUAUUCAGCAAAGCAAUGCCGAGGUUGUGAGUUCGAGCCUCACCUGGAGCACAGCUUUUAGAUGCUCCCGGUGACACCAGGUUAAUCCUCAUCAGCCGGAUGACAGAAGACUUCCUGUACCUCCUCCAGCGACGUCACGCGGCCUGUCGCUCUAAGCCCCAUAAUGCUGUAAAUGAACAAGGAGAAGAUUGCAGUAAUGAUGUGACCCAGAUGUCCUGGGUGCAGAUCUGCAGGCUGAAAAUAAGAGUGCAGAUCAGGAGCUUGUAUGUCCUACCACCUCCUCCUCCCCCUCUCCCUCCCUCCAGUCAGCCCUCCAUCCGGCCUAGGACACAAUCACUGAGCUUUUAGCCCCAGGGAAUCUGCCUCCAUAAGAUGGUAAAGCCUGGCAUCACACCACCAGAUCCCCCCUCCCACCCCCCCACAAC